rnacentral:rRNA from 1 species
UACGAAGGGGGCUAGCGUUGCUCGGAAUCACUGGGCGUAAAGCGCACGUAGGCGGACUCUUAAGUCGGUGGUGAAAUCCUGGAGCUCAACUCCAGAACUGCCUUCGAUACUGAGAGUCUCGAGUCCGGGAGAGGUGAGUGGAACUGCGAGUGUAGAGGUGAAAUUCGUAGAUAUUCGCAAGAACACCAGUGGCGAAGGCGGCUCUCUGGGACGGUACUGACGCUGAGACGCGAAAGCUUGGGGAGCAAACAGG